rnacentral:rRNA from 1 species
UACGGGGGGGGCAAGCGUUGUUCGGAAUUACUGGGCGUAAAGGGCUCGUAGGCGGCCAACUAAGUCAGACGUGAAAUCCCUCGGCUUAACCGGGGAACUGCGUCUGAUACUGGAUGGCUAGAGGUUGGGAGAGGGAUGCGGAAUUCCAGGUGUAGCGGUGAAAUGCGUAGAUAUCUGGAGGAACACCGGUGGCGAAGGCGGUGUUCUGGGCCAGUACUGACGCUGAGGCGCGAAAGCGUGGGGAGCGAACAGG